rnacentral:lncRNA from 1 species
AACUCGACUUUAACCUGAUUUGGAUCGCUCUUGAAUCUCGUCGUUUUACUUUUAAAAGUCCAAUCCAGUUUGGAUUAAGACACAUCAAUAUGAAUAAUCUUCAAGUAGUUGUUUGGUUAGUCGAAAGUAAAACACCCAAAGUGACAUUUUUAAAAAAUGACGUUUUAUCAUUUAUUUGGCUUGUAAAAAUAAAUAUUAAAGUCAAUUUAUAAAAGUGAGCGGGUAAAGAGAGUUAUAACUAAAUUUUACUUUUUUUAUUUCGGCUCAAAAACUUCAAAAAUUACCGAAAAGAAGUUAUAUUUGGUCUUAACUUUAAUCUUUGAAUUUAUUUUUAAAGUUACUUUAAAUUUGAAUUAAAAUCAUAAUCACAUUCUGGAUUUUAUUUGUAAAUUUAAAUUUAACAUAAACUUUUUAGAUUCAAAUUUGUAACUUUAUAUUUAAAUUUAUAAUUUAUAAUUUUUAUUUUUAUUUAAAUGUGAAUUCUAAAAUUUAAUUUUAAUUUUAAAUUUUAAAUUUUAAUCAAAU